ACGUCAUCCCCACCUUCCUCCGAGUUAUCCCCGGCAGUCUCCUAUGAGUCCCCGGCCGAACCGCUGGCAACAUAGGACAAGGGUUGCGCUCGUUGCGGGACUUAACCCAACAUCUCACGACACGAGCUGACGACAGCCAUGCACCACCUGUCACGGGCCCUUACGGACACUGUAUUUCUACAGCUUUUCCCGUGAUGUCAAACCCAGGUAAGGUUCUUCGGGUUGCAUCGAAUUAAGCCGCAUGCUCCGCCGCUUGUGCGGGGACCCGUCAAUUCCUUUGAGUUUUAGCCUUGCGGCCGUACUCCCCAGGCGGGAUACUUAAUGCGUUAGCUUCGGCACGGCAGUCGUUGGUAAGACCGCCACACCUAGUAUCCAACGUUUACGGCGUGGACUACCAGGG
rnacentral:misc_RNA from 1 species